GAGAAAGCAAACUUUACAAUGCAUUUAAAAAGAAACAACUGUUCUUUUGCUAAUCUUUAUUUUAAUCUUUUUUAAAGAUGUGAAGAUGAAAGUGGAGAGUGAUUAAGACUUUUCUCUUCCAAGUUCCUUGCAAUCCAGACAAUCCGGAUGCAGAUAACAUCCUGCAUCUAGCAUGCUGAGUUGUCUCCAAAAUCUCUGAAGCCUACGCCAUGUCCUGCUGUUCCUAGAUUAAGGCUCAGGGCAUGAACACUUAUUGACUGCAGACUGUUUCCCAGGCUCUGACUAUAUGUUUUAUCUAUCUCCAUUACACCCUCAAAGUAUCUUGUGAGCAGGGCAUGGUGUUUAUUCCCAUUUUACAGGAAAUGGAUGCUUAAGAGAGAUCACAGACCUACCGCUAUACAUGCCAGAAGGAAAAAUUAAACCAGAGGAACUAUCUUGUCAUUCAGCCAUCAGACAUAGAGCCUGGCUUCAAACUCAACUCUCAUUCCAAAACGUGUGUUGAUUUCAAGACAACAUGUCAUAAUAGUAAAAAAAAGGGGAAUGGAAAAGGGAAAAUGUGAGUACAGAGAAAUUGGCACUGAUUUCCAUCACAAAAAGAGACUCUACAAAGCUCUGGAGGAAAGUUACACCACCGCAUAGGCUGAUGGUUGGGUUCUUCUCCCAUAUAGGUCAUCAUUGUAAUUAGC
ensembl:lncRNA